ACAUAUUGUGAGCUUGAUGAGUAGGGCGGGACACGUGGUAUCCUGUCUGAAUAUGGGGGGACCAUCCUCCAAGGCUAAAUACUCCUGACUGACCGAUAGUGAACCAGUACCGUGAGGGAAAGGCGAAAAGAACCCCGGCGAGGGGAGUGAAAAAGAACCUGAAACCGUGUACGUACAAGCAGUGGGAGCACGCUUAGGCGUGUGACUGCGUACCUUUUGUAUAAUGGGUCAGCGACUUAUAUUCUGUAGCAAGGUUAACCGAAUAGGGGAGCCGAAGGGAAACCGAGUCUUAACUGGGCGUUAAGUUGCAGGGUAUAGACCCGAAACCCGGUGAUCUAGCCAUGGGCAGGUUGAAGGUUGGGUAACACUAACUGGAGGACCGAACCGACUAAUGUUGAAAAAUUAGCGGAUGACUUGUGGCUGGGGGUGAAAGGCCAAUCAAACCGGGAGAUAGCUGGUUCUCCCCGAAAGCUAUUUAGGUAGCGCCUCGUGAAUUCAUCUCCGGGGGUAGAGCACUGUUUCGGCAAGGGGGUCAUCCCGACUUACCAACCCGAUGCAAACUGCGAAUACCGGAGAAUGUUAUCACGGGAGACACACGGCGGGUGCUAACGUCCGUCGUGAAGAGGGAAACAACCCAGACCGCCAGCUAAGGUCCCAAAGUCAUGGUUAAGUGGGAAACGAUGUGGGAAGGCCCAGACAGCCAGGAUGUUGGCUUAGAAGCAGCCAUCAUUUAAAGAAAGCGUAAUAGCUCACUGGUCGAGUCGGCCUGCGCGGAAGAUGUAACGGGGCUAAACCAUGCACCGAAGCUGCGGCAGCGAC
rnacentral:rRNA from 1 species